GUAUGAAUGGCACCACGAGGGUUACACUGUCUCCUUUUUUUAAUCAGUGAAACUAAUUUCCCCGUGAAGAAGCGGGGAUUUUUUUAUAAGACGAGAAGACCCUAUGGAGCUUUAAACAAACUAACACUUGCUGCCCAAAAUAAUUUUCUCAGGAAACAUAACAUACAGCUUAGCAAGAUGAUUAAUAGUUUUCGAUUGGGGUGAUCACGGAGUAAAAAACAACCUCCAUGCCGAAAGGACCCUUCCCUGAGCAAAAAGCCACAACUUUAAGCACUAAAAAAUUAACGUUUAUUGACCCAAUAUUUUGAUCAACGAACCAAGUUACCCUAGGGAUAACAGCGCAAUCCACUUCAAGAGCUCCUAUCGACAAGUGG
rnacentral:rRNA from 1 species